GUGGUUUUCUGCUUUUCUUUCUUUCCCCUACAGCAUAGUAAUUCGAUCCUGUGAACUCGGUUUCUCUGUCUCUGUCUUUCUCUGUUUCUAUGUUUUUUCUUUCUUCUCUUUCCCCGAAGUGGAGCAAAGUGGAGCAGAGUAUAAAAUCAGAUUUCUCAGGGAACACAAACUAUUCUAUUUUUUUUUCUGCUGGAAGUUUCAGAGUGUUUCCACAAAGUCUAGGUUACUUCAUUGUGUUUGCCCAGCCAAAUUGUCUUAACCACUGUUGGGCAUACCUUCAUUUCAACUGUUUCGUCUCUGAGAAAAGGCGUUGAAUGACUCAAAAAUGGCCGAGUCAACCAAAGUAAGGUUGGUUCGGUGUCCAAAAUGUGAAAACCUUCUUCCAGAGCUUGCUGAUUAUUCUGUUUACCAGUGUGGUGGGUGCGGUGCUGUUCUUCGAGCAAAAGUUAGGAAUCGUGAAGCAGAUACCUUCUCAGAGAAGUCGGAAGAGGACAGGCUUGGAGGAGUUUCUACCAAAUCCCAAAUUUCCUCAGAGAAAGGAAUAGUGGACUCGAGUGAUGCCUCUGAUACAGAUGUUAAAUCGAGUGCUGGCUCUUUGAUGUGUGAUCAAAGGGAUCCCGAGAAGAAUGAUGUUGAUUCCGCUGAUAGAAGUAGGACUGAGUCUAAGGUUGCUGGUGAUAAAUGGUCUGUUGAGAAUGGUAAUGAUAUUAGCAGAAAUAAGGAUGAAAUAGUAAACGCUAUUGGAAGACGACAGGAGGAUUUGGAUUCGAAUUUUGGAUAUACUGGUGGAUCGCAAAGAGUGGGACACAUAUCAGAUUGGCAAGCUAGGACGCAAGAAGAGAUGGAGAAGUUUCAGAGAAUUCCAAGAGUGGUCGUCGAAGGUGUGCGACUUUCAACUUCAAACAAUCCGGAUGAAGGCCCAUCAAGCCAUAAUUUGGAUUCUUCUUAUGGUUAUAGCGAACCAUUGCGGAAUCGAACUGACCAGGAUGGCUCUAGUAGAAUUCACCUUGAACAAGAUCGAGCUGAGCUUCUGAGGAAGCUAGAUGAGCUAAAGGAGCAACUUAGUCGCUCUUGUGAUGUGGUUGACAAACCAAACGAGAAGGUUCCACUUGAUGGGAGAGUUGUUCCUCCAGAGCCUCAUGGUGGUGCUGAUACCUGGUUUCCAAAUGUUUCUUCCGGAUCACGCAAUGCCUCAAUGCCUUUCUAUGGACCUGAUAAACAUGCUGCAGGAGCAGGACCCUCUUAUUUUAGCCAUUUCCCAGAACCAUUCUCUUAUCCUGUUGGGCAUGAUAUGACUCGGCAUGGGUUGUAUCCUCCAAUGCAUAAUCCAAAUCAUAUUCCUCCAUAUGGAGAUCCUUUUGGACCCCAAAUUCUUGGAAGAGCUCCCCACCAGUUGCCUGGAGAAUACCAACAACAGCCGCCUCACACAUACUUUUCUGGACAGUACAUUGAAAAUAAUCAUGACCCAUUUAUGCCAUAUCCCCAAAGUUCAGUCUUGCACCAUGCUUCUUGUUCUUGUUUUCAUUGUUAUGAGAAACAUCGACGAGUUCCAGCACCUGUUCCACCCAGAGCAUUUGGUAAUAAAAGAUUCCCUGAUGUCCCUAGCAAUCCAAUGUACCCUAUUGAGAACCCUGGGACUUUUGGUUCGCAUUUCCAUAACUCUAGGACUAUGAUGCCUCCUCCUUUAAAUGUACGUGGUACACAAGUGCAUGCUAGAUGGCCCAGUGAUAUUAACACUGAAAUGGGUGGUUUUGUUCGGUGCCGUCCCCAGAGGGUGGUGUUAGCCAGUGGUGGCCGCCAUUUUCGUCCUAUAGCUGGUGGUGCUCCAUUUAUAACUUGUUAUAAUUGCUUUGAGCUACUACAAAUGCCCAGGAAACUGCAGCUCGUGGUGAAAAAUGAACAUAAAUUGCGCUGUGGAGCCUGUUCUACUGUAAUAAACUUUACCGUCAUAAACAAGAAACUUGUUCUUUGUGAUCAUGCAGAAACAAAGGGAAUUUCUGUGGAGGUUGAUGAUAUCUCUAAUGAAGUUGUGAAUGAUAAUUCCUCACAUUUCCGUGGCCGUGUGAACCGGAUUGCUAACUUCUCUUCUGAUGAUUAUGAUCAUUCGGGUUAUGACUUUCAGUCAAUGGACAGAGAACCUGUUGCCUUGUCAAUGGGCCAGGCUUUGAACUCAGUCAGACCCCAGGAAUUGCAGAACUUUCAUUCUUCAUCUCCAAGCACCUCUGAGGAUGAAAACAGUCCAGAUGUUUUAAUUGCUUCAAGAGAUGAAGUGAAUUCUGUUGAGCAGCCAAUCAAACCCAGUUUGUCUCCUCCACCUGCAGGCUCACCUCUUCAAGAGCACUUUGAUUACUCUUCCAACAAUCGUGCAGUCAACCGAUUUGGGAAGGGAAAUCGGAGUAGUCGCUCUGAACAAGAGAAAGUUAUGUCAAACAAGGCUACCACAAGACAAAAUUCUUUAAAAGAAGCAUCGUUACCUACUGAGAUGGAUGUGUCUUUCAAUGAGUACUCCAAUACUGGGAUUUCUCAAGAUUCAGGGGAUGCAACCAGAGAAGAUGAUCAACUGAAAACAACAAAAGGAGGUGAAUCAUUUUUUGCAAAUAUUAUUAAGAAGAGUUUUAAGGAUUUUUCAAGAUCUAAUCAAACAGAGGAACGUGGAAAAAGCAAUAUUUGGGUUAACGGGAAUCCCAUACCUGAACGUGUGGUUAAAAAGGCUGAAAAGAUGGCUGGACCAAUUCACCCUGGACAGUAUUGGUAUGAUUUCCGUGCUGGAUUCUGGGGUAUUCUUGGUGGGCCUUGUCUAGGCAUAAUUCCUCCAUUUAUCGAAGAAUUUAACUAUCCCAUGCCAGAAAAUUGUGCUGGUGGGACCACUGGUGUUUUUGUAAACGGGAGGGAGCUCCAUCAGAAAGAUUUGGAUUUGCUUGCUAAUAGAGGUCUUCCAACUGAUAGAGAUAGAUCUUACAUCGUUGAGAUUUCAGGGAGUGUUCUGGAUGAGGACACUGGUGAAGAGCUAGAUAGCCUUGGCAAACUUGCCCCAACAGUUGAGAAAGCGAAGCAUGGUUUUGGCAUGAAAGCUCCAAGAUCACCUGCAUGAUGAAUUAAACAAUCACAGAGUUAUCCAACGGAUGCAAAAAGUUUUGAUUCAAUCUAAAUCAAGUGCAGGAAUCACCAUCUUGGCAAACCGGUUGGAAGGACUGAAUGGUGUUUCUGUAGCUACUCUGGGUUGACUCAAGACUGAGUUGGCAUGUGAAGCUCCUGUUGAAGGGGCCCCAAUCUCUAAGUAGAUGAGCCCAAACAAUCAUUGGUUGAUCUUGCAGACGACACAAGAACAAGACAUACGCUUAGGGGAAUUGGCCCGUGCACUCUUUGGUACUCGUCAGGUCAGGGUGCUAAGUGCACCUCACUGGUGGGCCUAAUCUCUCGUAUGGGCCCUUUGCCUCUUCGUAUCUUUAUUCUUUUUUUAAUUUAAAAGAAAGGAAGAUUCCAACCAUUCUUUUCUAAUAAGUGAUUUUAGGACAAUUAUGGAAUCAAAUGUUUGGAUACAAAUCCAUUUAUUCUUGUCAUAAGCU